UUGUUGUCUGUCUAAACACGGAACAACCAGAACGCUAGCAAAAACUUAGCGCUAUUAUUAUACAACCUAAACACAAUCUAAUACCAAUAACUUUAAUAAUUAGAUUGCCUUAUUUUGUAGAUUUAGUGAUUUAGUAUUUUUCAAACCCGCAAUGUAUAGCGUGCAAAAUUCGAGCCCAUGCCCCA